CCGGAUGCUUUCACGAAGCGUGAGUUAAAAAGGAUUCAAUUACACUGUCCAUCUGAAGAGUGUAAAUGGUUUGGUACACACGAAGAAUUGGAGUUGCCCAAAAUAUUUUGCCACGUAUGAACUCAACGGACGAAGCCAUUUGACGCUUAACUUAUCAGAACGUUAAGAGAUCUGAAAGAUCGAAUAUUUGAAGCUUCAACCGUCGACCAGUGAAAGUUGCCCAAAAUAUUUUGCCACGUAUGAACUCAACGGACGAAGCCAUUUGACGCUUAACUUAUCAGAACGUUAAGAGAUCUGAAAGAUCGAAUGUUUGAAGCUUCAACUGUCGACCAGUAAAAGGUUUGUAACACUAAAGAUAAAGAAUUAUUGUGUGUGUAAACGAUGUACAAAUGAGAUCUUAAAUAAAAGUUGUUCGUCAAA